rnacentral:lncRNA from 1 species
AAUUGCCUUGAUUAUAGCUAGAAUUUAUGAGUAUAUCCAUAUACCCAGACUCAUUAAAUUGUACACAUUAAAUAUAUGCUGUCUUUUGUAUAUCAAUUAUACCUCAAUAAAGCUAUUUUGUUUAAAGAAAGAUUUAACUAUUUAACUACAUGAGGUAGCCUUGUCGUGUGUCUAUUCACCUACACUGAAAAACGUUUCCCAGAAUUCUCCCUCUUCUAUGUUUCCCAUUAGCAUGAGCCACACAUACAAUUUUUUGAGUGAGAUUUGCAGGGUGGAAGUAAAGGCAUAGCAUUUGUAGCUCACACACUGUGCCGCUGGUCUGCUAACUAAGUUCAUUGGCCGGAGGCAGCAUCUGGGCCUACACAUGGCCUUACACAGCUUGACUUUUGCAUCUGAGCCUCCUGGGCCAAUGUCUCAAUACCUUCAAGGGUCCUGACUUCUGAAAUGACACUCGUAACACAAGGUGAACACCAGAAGAACUAACACAGGUGAAAGUCACUCCUGGGAGCUUCAGCUGUUCUUGUGGACUCCACCACCUCCCAUUCAUGUUCUCUUCCAAAGUGCCUACCCUGUGAACUUCAGUAAACUUCAAGCUCCAACACCAGAUGUGAAGACAACAGCCUUAGAAGGACUGCCUAGCUAGCUUACCCAGUUCCAACAAAAAAAAUCCUUAUAACAAAUCUCUCUGUGUACGUAUUAGUCUGCUCUCACGCUGCUAUGAAGAGAUAUCCAAGACUGGCUAAUUUAUAAAGGAAAGAAAUUUGACUCACAGUUCUGCAUGGGUGGGAAGGCCUCAGGAAACUUACAAUCAUGACGAAGGCAAAAGAGAAGCAGGCACCUUCUUCACGGGGCGCCAGGCCAGAGUGAGGGCAAGCAGGGCCGGACGCUUGUAAAACCGUCAGAUCUUGCGAGACUCACUCACUCUCACGAGAAUAGCGUAGGGAAAAACUGGCCCCGUGGUUCAAUUACCUCCACCUGGUCCUGGCCUUGGCGCCUGGGGAUUACGGGGAUUACAGUUCGAGGUAAAUGACAGAAAGAGCUGAACCAGGGAGUGUGACACCGGACCUUCCACACACACCGUGCGAUACAGCCACUCAACAGAGAUGAGAAGCCUCCAUCACACUCCUGUGAAAUUUAUAAACAGCUGAAUGUGCUGUGCUUGACCACCCUUAUCAGAAGAGGCCCAUCCUAACCAGCCAGUCUGCAAAUUCACAGGUUUGUGGGUCCAUGCUGUUAUUCCUGUGCCAGUCACUCUCAUUAAAAGAGAUGUCCUUGUUAAAAAAUAUAUAUAUAUACAUACAUAUGAAAGUAUUUUUAAAAUUAACGUUUGUAUAAAGCCUUUUUUUCCUAAUAUACCUGAUACUAUUUAAAACAAAAUUUU